UAAACAAAUAAUUAUUUUGGGUUUUAGAAACCUACACUUGUUCUAUCACGCCACACUUGUUCUAUCACGCACACUACUUCAUCAUUUUCUUUCAUUUGACCAGUUCCCUCACAUCUUUCUAGCUCUUUCACCCCUCACACCCUCUCUUUUCCCCAUUUCCAGCCGACUCUCUCUCUAACAAUUCACUCAACCUCACAAUUCUCAACUAUCUCCCACCCAUCUCAGACUCUCUCUCCUUCGCUCUCCCUCUCAGUAACACGCCAAAACACCACCAUAACCACCUCCAAAAAUUGUCAAAACAUCACCAUCUCAUCCAAGCUUCCUCCAAAGCCACCCAAAAACUCUCAAAACACUAAGGACGCCCUGCAACUCAUCCAAAAUCUUGUGACCGUUUUAAAGGAAAAAUAUGAAGUUUUCGUUUCGUGUCUCGAAGGAACCUGACGAAGAAAACCAUCUCCGACUUGGUAAGCUUUGAUUUCUUCAUUUUCUGAGCAUUCCUCAAGUUGUUCAAACGUUUCCUUGAAAAGCAUGUGGCUUUUGGACGUAUCGUUUAGCUUUUUCCUUAUGCACCAUGUUUUUCGGCGUGUUGAAGGAUUUUUCCAAGCUAAACCCAUCCAAACCUUGUCGAGUUGAUCGAGUUUGAAGGUGUUGGACGACUUCCCAAAACCCCUAGACCAUGGAUUUAAGUUUGCAUGCUCGAAACCCGCUAUAUCUAGAAAGUCCCGAAUAUGGUAGUGGCUUUUAAGCCAAUUUCCAGUCACCUCCGCCAAGUUUUGUUCCCCCAAUGAGGUUUUAGUGGCAGAGCUCAUGUUGUCGAUGACUUUUAAUGGCAAACAUUGGCGGAUUCAUAUACGGACCAAGGUGGUCCUAGGACCACCCGGAUGCCAGAAAAACGCCUAUGAAGAUCCUUGGAGGAGGUAGAGGAGUUGCAAUCAAAAUGACAUAGUUAUGGAUGGACCGUGGUACAAUCAAAAUUCUGGUGCACUGCAUCCAUGAAGGAGGUAGAGGAGUUGCAGCUUCCCCGCAAGGAAGAAGGUUGAUGAUUUUAUUUCCCUCAACCCAAUAUUCGUGAAGUCUAUCCUAUAUGAGAUCAUCUAUUUAUCCAUGCUUUCACGUUCUGAAUUAAAUAAAUAAAAAAUUUUAUGCGUUUGGAAAAACGCAUAAGAAAAUUUAUUUACUUAAUUCAACAAAAUGAGAAAAUAUAUGUGAGUUAGUGUUAUUCACACACUCAUUUUUAUCUCUGCCACACUUUUGUUAAAUUUUUGUAUAGAAUAUAUGAGAAGUCAAAAUAAAUGUAUGGAUAAAACUACCUUAUAUAUGUUGUGCACUUGACUUUAAUUUAGAUUACUUUUUAUUGACAUGCUUAUAUAUGUUGUAGUCUUCACCUUCUUUAUGAAGUCGUCUAAAGACCUAUAUUUAAUCACGUGAAAUUUUCUUUAAAACUUGAUGGGACAAUUUUAAUACUUAAAAAAUGAAAGGGAAAAUAAUAAGAAAGAAUUUGAGAGACUUGGAGUAGACGGAAAAAAAAAUGGGAUUCUCAGCUGUAAACUUUGAGCAUUUUCUUAUCAAAUCACGUCAAUUACUCUAGUUAGUUUAAAUUUGAGGAAAAUUAAAUGGAAAGUUCAAUCUGAGUUGACAUUAACGAGUAACAACGAACUUACUAACGUACGUAUUAUUCAAAUUUUAUUUACCGUAUAAGUAAAAUUAUACGUUACAUGCAUCACAUUUAUAAUUUAUGCAGUUUAAUGUUGUCAUUUUUUACUGAGGGAUGGGAUGAAUUUGGCUGUAUCAACCUGCAUGAUGUACAUACAUGCAUCAAGUUUAAGCUAAGAUCAUGAAAUGCAGUCUUGAAUUAUACGUUAUCAAAACCUCGUAAGUUAAAUCAAAUUUGGACUCUUGUCCGUAACAUAUUCCAAAACCGAUCCGUUUCUUCGAGUCCGACAAAACCCCAAUCCGUUACCGAAUCCUCUCUCUCAUGAUCUCAGAUUCUCAGCUCCAUUCAGGCCAUGAUGACUUCUACCCGUUCUGUUCUCGUGACCCGCGUGACCUCCCACCGUUAUUCCCACGUGCCAAAUAACCAACUAAAACCUCUUCUCUACCUUCAGAAGGGGUGCAACUUGGACAGGUUUGAAGAUUUACCCAAUCCUAAUCCAACUUUUACAAUUUGAGCUUGGGUUCGGGUUGGAUUUCAUUCAGGUUCAUUUGGGCUCGGGUUUAAUUGGGUUAAGGUUUACUUGAGUUGGGUUCGGAUUGCCCAACUUUUUCAAGUUUAAUCUUAUAACAACUUAGUUUCCAAGAAUUGCAAAAAAAAUUAAGCCAAGUAGAGCAUCAAAGCUGGCUAACUUUAAUUUCAUAAAUCAAUAUACUAUAAAGCUUUAGGAUUUAGAGACUACGAAUAUGAAUUGACUAAUCAAAGUCUCUUGGUCCCUAAUAGCUUAAGUAAUUAUAAAGGGUAAUUUAUCAAAAAAUAUAUUAGAAAGGGCGUUGGUUUUUGAACUUGGCUCACUUGGGUGUAGUAUGAGCAUUAAUUGAUAUGGGUUACAAUUUGGUUAGAUUGGGUUUGGGUUGGAUUGGGUUGGGGAUGGACAUGCAAAUGAUCAACCAAACUCAAUGAAAUCAAUGAACGAGUAGAAAUUGGGUUGGGUUCGGACGGGUUAUAACUAACUAAACCCAUUUGUUCGAGUUUAAAGUCAGAUUGGAC